CUCAGGACGAACGCUGGCGGCGUGCUUAACACAUGCAAGUCGAGCGGAAAGGCCCUUCGGGGUACUCGAGCGGCGAACGGGUGAGUAACACGUGAGUAACCUGCCCCUAGUUCUGUGAUAGCUCCGGGAAACCGGAAUUAAUACCGGAUACGACCACGGACGACAUCGGCCGUGGUGGAAAGAUUUAUCGACUAGGGAUGGGCUCGCGGCCUAUCAGCUUGUUGGUGGGGUAACGGCCUACCAAGGCGACGACGGGUAGCCGGCCUGAGAGGGCGACCGGCCACACUGGGACUGAGACACGGCCCAGACUCCUACGGGAGGCAGCAGUGGGGAAUAUUGCGCAAUGGGCGAAAGCCUGACGCAGCGACGCCGCGUGGGGGAUGAAGGCCUUCGGGUUGUAAACCCCUUUCGGCAGGGACGAAGCGAAAGUGACGGUACCUGCAAAAGAAGCGCCGGCUAACUACGUGCCAGCAGCCGCGGUAACACGUAGGGCGCAAGCGUUGUCCGGAAUCAUUGGGCGUAAAGAGCUCGUAGGCGGUCUGUUGCGUCCGCUGUGAAAACUCGGGGCUUAACCCCGAGCUUGCAGUGGAUACGGGCAGACUAGAGGUAGGUAGGGGAGAAUGGAAUUCCCGGUGUAGCGGUGAAAUGCGCAGAUAUCGGGAGGAACACCGGUGGCGAAGGCGGUUCUCUGGGCCUUACCUGACGCUGAGGAGCGAAAGCGUGGGGAGCGAACAGGAUUAGAUACCCUGGUAGUCCACGCCGUAAACGUUGGGCGCUAGGUGUGGGGUCCUUCCACGGAUUCCGUGCCGCAGCUAACGCAUUAAGCGCCCCGCCUGGGGAGUACGGCCGCAAGGCUAAA
rnacentral:rRNA from 1 species